GGCUCGGUGGCAGAGUGGUAAUGCAUCCGUUUACGAUACUAUUGAUUAUUCUCCGUUGCGGGGGUCGCCUGUUCGACCCAGGCCUGAGCCA